UUUUUUUCCCUGUACAAUUCCGAACAUUUCUCAAAUAGCAUUUGAGAUGAUGAUGAUGAUAAAUAAUAAAUAAAUAAAAAAAUUGAUCAUUUAAAUAAUGACUUGAAUUAAAAACGUUUUACCACACAAUGCAUUUUACAUAAGUUAUUGACUUAUCACACCAAAUAUACCUAUACAUAUGUAAUUAUUACAUCCAAAUUACAGCAAUUAUAUUAAACAAGAUUCGAAACAACAAUGUGCUUUACACAAAAAUAUCCGCUUAAAUCUGCCUCUUAUUUUAGGUAUUUCUUAGUAAAAUUCAAAAUAAAUAAAUAAUGGCAAGAAUAAAAGUCCCAUGUAUAAAUUGUUUAAUAGCAAAGGAAAAGAAUUUUAUAACAAUAUAUAUAUUUUUUUUAAGACUCACAGUAUCUCUUCUGGACUAACGCAAGUUGCUUACGAUUUCAUGCAUUAAUUUUCUUCAUCUACCAUGAUGCUCAGUAGACCUCAGGACAGUUGCAACAGGAAGGCCUGUGUUCGUUGCUACUUGAUCAUACUAGCAGCUUGUAAACUGAUGAUGGUGUCUUAUCUCCUCUUCUGACUUGUCCAGCAUAAAUAACUUGUAGAGUUUCUCCGGUAUUACGAUUUCACAAAGCACUUGAAAUCACUUUAACACUAUUAAAUAUUACACAUUUUGACACAAACACACGUUAACUCACUCAAUUAGAAUUCAGUUUUUACUUCAUUUGAAAUGAUUUUACACUUUUACUCGCACUAAAACACACACUCCGUUUGACUCAAUAAAACAAAAUCUAAUUUAUAAUAUUAAAUACAUAGGGUUCCUAAUCUACUAAGCAUAAUUUUAUUCAUGGCUCCAGUUUGUUAUUCACUUAUUCACUCAUCGGGAUUCAGUCUUUGAUCUGAAACGUUUAUGCUCUGUACUUUAGUCUAUCUUCGAGACCGCUAUGCUAUGAGAGCGUUAUGAACCCGGGCAAAUUUAACAAUGAGUUUGUGGGAACAUACAUACAUAGAUAUGUGUACAACAACUGGCGUGUGUUGUCAAGAAACAAUGACGUUGUUCUGAUAAGAACAGUUUAUUGAUUGAUCAACAGAUACUGCGAUUAAGUAGAGAAACAUUGACAUUCGUAGAUUUGUGUUUGCUACCGAAAGGAGCAGUUUAUGCAUUACCCUGAGAAAUGCAGUUACACAUAAUGGCUAACUAUAAGGUUAUUAUUUAUUAUCUGAAUACCAAAACAAUGUUAAUACCUACGUAAAAUAAAUCAUGCUGAUUUUUUUUGGAAACGCGCUAUAAAUCGAAAUUCUUGUAGAUAGAGAAUUAAAAAUCCGGAAUGUACAAUGGAUUUGAGUUUGUAAAGUAGGAGAUUUUAGAAAUUACAUCAUAUACUAACAUAACCUAUAAAUAUUCCGGCUUGUCAAACUGUGUACUCACGUUCAAUGCACAUUUCUUGUAAAUUAAGCUAUUUUUCAUCACUAUCACACCUCGCUAAUGUACAAUAUAAUAACUGUUUCAAUAUAAAUUUACUGCAUGAAUUAAUUUUUCGCGAACGAAACCACAGCAUUUUUGUACUUUGUUUAUUCAUCCGCCUUACGUUUCUUGUGAUUGCAAAAUGAAAAUGAUGAUUACUAGUGUUCAUAAACUUAUUUUUCAUAUAAUUUGGACCAAAUAUCACUUUAAUUUCUUUCAAAACCGAUAAUUACUCCGUAAGAUCGCUCUUUAUUUAUUUUCCAAAAUGUCAAACUAAAUUGUCAAAGCAAAGCUAAAAGUGAAGAAUAUUGAUCUAUGAUCUAUUUCAAAACUAUUUAGGACAUUCGUAGUCUGUUAACCCUUUCUGUCAUUAGAAAAGGUGGUAAAUUUAAAAAAUGUACGUGAAAGGGAACUUCGCGCGUUCUUUCCUUGACAUAGCGAAUCGCCAGCGUAUGUUUUAUAAACUAGAAACUUCAUCUUAACUCCAUCUAGUGCCGAGCAGCGACACCAUGUCUGUCAGUGCUACUAUUUACCGUUAGAUGGCGUCGUAAUGAUAUUUUAGAAAAUUUCAUUUUACGACCCGAAAAACUACGACUAUAUGUUUAUAAUUAUAUAUUACAUAAUAAGAAGAGUGAAAUUUAUUAAAGAGAGAAAUCUAUUGCCUAUAAUCCUAAAAUUACUUUGCUUUUCGGAAAUUUAUAGAUCGUCUAAGUACCCCUACUCGUCCCUAGAUGAUUCCACUAGCGCUAGUUUGGCAUAUUAUUUUAUUUUCUGUCCAAUAUUUUAUCCGCAUUUAUUUAUGUUUAAAGAUAUAUAAUUUGUAAUAUAUUUAUGAAUAAUUUUUAAUAAUAAAUGAGAUCGAUUGUGUAAACAUGCCUUUUUGUCAUAGACAAUAUCUUUUCUAAGGUUGAUCUAUGUGCGUGCGCUCGUAUAAUGCAACAAAAUUGAAAAUACGUUCUACGAACCCUAACAACAUGCAUAACGCAGCCUACGCAAUUUAGUCGGCUUGUGGCUGACUUUGUUAAGGUUCCCCAUAGAUGGCGUGACUAACUAGAAUCAAAAUAAUUUAAUAGAAAGCAAAAUUUUUAGUUUUGAGGUCUUAAAUAUAUAUAUUUAUAUUAAUUUGAAUAAUAAGGACACAUUUAACAAAUUAGUAAAUUAAAAUAAUUGAUUUAAUCACGUCACACCAUACCAUUCUAGACUGUGUCAAAUCUUAUAAAGAAAUUUUGCCCCUGGCAGCUCUAGGCUCUGUCACUUUAUUUACUUCCGUUCAUUUAGAUUCGUAUUAGUAGUUUUUUUAUACAGCAUUCAUUUUUCUUGUCUAACAUUUGUUAUUAAAUCCCAAAAUUAUUAAUUAAAGUCAAAAAUACCAAAGAUACCUCAACUACCAGUGUCACAGUGAUUUAACACUUUAAUAAGCAGAUAAGUGACAAACAUCCAACCACCAUAUUGUAAUUCAUCAAGUUGCAUAGAGAAAGUUGACAAAAAAUAAUUACCUUUACCAUGACAGAAGUUUAAACUGAACUGGAAAAGAUCGUCCUCGAGUCGAGUGCGCCUUUUAUGAUUCUCUUAAUAUCCUACCCAUUGCAUAUCGCAAGAACUGUACAAGACAAACGAAAUAGAAUUUCGGAUUCAAACACGAUCAUGUUCUUCACCUUCGUCAAGAAAUGUAUAAAUGUUCAGUGAAUCUAGUGCCGUAAGAUGACCUAUGACCUAAUGUUUAAACUAUCUAGAUCCACGGAUGUUUAAUUAAUGUGCCUAGCUACUGACAGUGCAAGUGAAAUAAACUUAAAAUAUGGAAACUGUUCCUACAAGCAAGCAGGCUGACAACUAUUGAAUGUGGUGUGGACAAGUCAUUACUGAAGAAAAAUAAGUUGAAAUUACACUGUGAUACUUCAUUUACUGAUUUUGAUGAAUCUUUCCCGAGCUUUAAGACAAACAGAGUCAACUCUGAUGGCUGCCUAUAUAUACCUAUACCUAGCGAUCUUGUGAUAUUUAUGCGGAGCGGAGCAAACUUCCAUUUGCUGUUUUCAUGGGCUUUUCCGAGUCUCUCGAUAAUCUCCAACAAACAGAAUGGUUUCCUGAUACCUGGGCGUUUGGUCACCUAGCAGACAGUUAAACUUAAGCCGAGUGAAGGAAAUCUCGAUGGUCACUUUCAUGAUUCCUGUUUCUCCAUGGCUUACCACAAUUUUCAAUGUCCCGGAGAACUGACAGUGCCCCGCAUAGUCAUUACUUCUAGCCUCAAAAUACACACUAUGAAAUGCUUCUAUUUCUGAAAGAUUAUGAAGAAGCAGACCACUCCAGACUCCUGUUCAAUGACUUUAUUUCACGACUUUUGCUGCAACAAUGGCUGCUGUCUUCUGACACUUGAAAGCUCCCGUUCAACGGCUCUAGUACAAGAAACCUGCUCCUACAUCAGCAGUGGUCUACAUUGAAUACUACUUAUAGGGAAAAUUUCACUCAAGAUCUUCCUUUAUAUUAGGUAUCAAGGCGCAAGAAGGUGAAUUUAUAAUUGAUUAUUACGUGAUGACAAUUCUUAGCUGAGGAAUAUAGAAAGAAUCCCUAACAACGGCGAGAAGAGAACGAGUAAAGAAGAUUGAUAAACUUAUUAAGUAGACAAUAACUCUAAGGUUUUUUCUAAGUAGACAAUAGCUAUGGAUUUUGUUGUAUAUGUAAUAGUUUCAGAAAUAAACGUUAGGUUUCAUGAGUUUUAUUCAAAACACAAUAAAAAAACAGAGUCCAAAACUCAGUGCA